CCUACGGGAGGCUGCAGUGGGGAAUAUUGGACAAUGGGGGGAACCCUGAUCCAGCCAUGCCGCGUGUGUGAAGAAGGCUCUCGGGUUGUAAAGCACUUUCAGCGAGGAAGAACGCCUGGUGGUUAAUACCCAUCAGGAAAGACAUAACCCACAGAAGAAGCACCGGCUAACUCCGUGCCAGCAGCCGCGGUAAUACGGAGGGUGCGAGCGUUAAUCGGAAUUACUGGGCGUAAAGCGCGCGUAGGUGGCUUGAUAAGCCGGUUGUGAAAGCCCCGGGCUCAACCUGGGAACGGCAUCCGGAACUGUCAAGCUGGAGUGCAGGAGAGGAAAGUAGAAUUCCCGGUGUAGCGGUGAAAUGCGUAGAGAUCGGGAGGAAUACCAGUGGCGAAGGCGGCCUUCUGGACUGACACUGACGCUGAGGUGCGAAAGCGUGGGUAGCAAACAGGAUUAGAUACCCCUGUAGUC
rnacentral:rRNA from 1 species